GGCGGCACGAUAACACAUGCAAGUCGAACGGAGUAUAUUGUAGCUUGCUAUGGUAUAACUUAGUGGCAGACGGGUGAGUAAUGUAUAGGAAUCUACCUAGUAGUACGGGAUAAUUGUUGGAAACGGCAACUAAUACCGUAUACGCCCUACGGGGAAAAAUUUAUUGCUAUUAGAUGAGCCUAUAUUAGAUUAGCUAGUUGGUGGGGUAAUAGCCUACCAAGGCAAUGAUCUAUAGCUGAUCUGAGAGGAUGAUCAGCCACACUGGAACUGAGAUACGGUCCAGACUCCUACGGGAGGCAGCAGUGGGGAAUAUUGGACAAUGGGCGAAAGUGAUCCAGCCAUGCCGCAUGAGUGAAGAAGGCCUUUGGGUUGUAAAGCUCUUUUAGUGAGGAAGAUAAUGACGGUACUCACAGAAGAAGUCCUGGCUAACUCCGUGCCAGCAGCCGCGGUAAUACGGAGAGGGCUAGCGUUAUUCGGAAUUAUUGGGCGUAAAGGGCGCGUAGGUGGUUAAUAAGUUAAAAGUGAAAUCCCAAGGCUUAACCUUGGAAUUGCUUUUAAAACUAUUAAUCUAGAGAUUGAAAGAGGAUAGAGGAAUUCCUCAUGUAGAGGUAAAAUUCGUAAAUAUGAGCAUGAUUCGUUUGGUGUAGUUUUUAUUUUCUCCAAUUUCUUAA
rnacentral:rRNA from 1 species